rnacentral:rRNA from 1 species
CAUGUAAGUCGAACGAGAAAGAACUCCGCCUGUGAAUACAGUGGCGGACGGGUGAGUAACGCGUAGGAAUCUACCUAGUAGUGGGGGACAACUCGAGGAAACUCGAGCUAAUACCGCAUACGCUCUAUGGAGGAAAGUGGGGGAUCUUCGGACCUCACGCUAUUAGAGGAGUCUGCGUUAGAUUAGCUAGUUGGUGAGGUAAAGGCUCACCAAGGCUACGAUCUAUAGCUGGUCUGAGAGGACGAUCAGCCACACUGGAACUGAGACACGGUCCAGACUCCUACGGGAGGCAGCAGUAGGGAAUCUUGGCCAAUGGGCUGAAAGCCUGACCCAGCGAU